rnacentral:rRNA from 1 species
GGGUCAGUAGGUUGGUCGUGCCACCGGUACGUACUGGUCUCACUGAUUCCUCCUUCCUGAGGAACCGUAAUGCCAUUAAUUUGGUGUUGCGGGGGAACAGGACUGUUACUUUGAAAAAAUUAGAGUGUUUAAAGCAAGCUAACGCUUGAAUACAUUAGCAUGGAAUAAUGAAAUAGGACGAUCGAUCCUAUUUUGUUGGUUUCUAGGAUUGACGUA